UACAGAGGUGGCAAGCGUUGUUCGGAUUUACUGGGCGUAAAGGGUGCGUAGGUGGUUUUGUGUGUCGGGCGUGAAACUCUGCCGCUCAAGGGCAGAACUGCGCUCGAAACUGCAAAGCUGGAGUGCAUGAGAGGAAAGCGGAAUUCUUGGUGUAGCGGUGGAAUGCGUUGAUAUCAAGAGGAACACCGGUGGCGAAGGCGGCUUUCUGGAAUGCAACUGACACUGAGGCACGAAAGUUGGGGGAGCAAACAGG
rnacentral:rRNA from 1 species